UUAAAUUCUCAUGGUUUCAAAAUCAGACAGGACGAUUCAUCUGCAUGAAGGCGGCGCCCUCCGAAGGGGACGCCGAAACACGUUCUCUCUGAACGGUCCACAGGUUUGAUGGGGUUUGUGAAGGCACGGAGGCCGUUCGAUAAUGAUCCCUCCGCAGGUUCACCUACGGAGA
rnacentral:misc_RNA from 1 species